rnacentral:lncRNA from 11 species
UUCAACUUUACACCAAAGAUUUGCAGUUGUAGGUGGACUCAACUAUUUAGCUUGCUAAGAACCUGGUGCGGUUUUACAGUGAGAACAGGCUGUCCUUAGAUCACCGAAGAGGCGAUAACGUUGGGUUCCUCAGGGGCUCCAGUUCUCUAAUAAAUUCAAACAAACUACUUCAAGUACCUUGGUGGCUCUGGCAGAAGGACGGUAUCAAAUUACCACAAAUGGAAAAACAAAUAAAACAACGAGGAUUACAAUGCAUGGG